AAAAAAUAUCAUUAUUACAGCUCCAGAACAUUUUUUGGAGCAAAUAUUUUCCAUUGUGUUUAAAACUCUUCAUACAAUCAGUUUGUAGUUUGGUGAUCUAAACUCCUAGUUUACUGUAAUGUAUUUUUUUAAAGAAGAAAGGGGCAGCAAAAGUCUAUGCUCAAUUAAGCCGUUUAGCAGAAAUACAGCAAAUAAAUCACUUUGUCAAUCGAUGUUCUCAAUAAUUAAAUGCUGGGCAAUAGAUUUUCUGUUUGGAGGCUGUCGAUAUGAAUGAAAUUUAUAACUACGGCCAAACAGGAAGUCAAUUUUUACUGCAAUUCAAUUUUCGACUGGAACACGUAUAAUGUGAAUAUGGCCAUAAGCGGAAUAUUAGAGGCCGACUGAGUUUUUUUUUUUCCAGCCGGCCUGAUCAAUAAAUUAAGGUAAAAGCAGUGGAGCUCUGGCAGACGUACGCGUGGAGUAAGACUCGCUGUGUUUUCAGAGGUUAUCCUUUAUAAAAAUCAAUAGGCAGUGCUGUAAUAUGAUCGUGUGUGUGUAUUAUUUCACAAUUCACAGGUGAAUGCAUUGCAUGAGAUACACGUUUGUGAACUCAGUCUCACAUCCAGUUGAAAGAUUCCUUUAGGACGAUGUGUCCCUCUGGACAGGAUGAAUACAAUCACACUCAUCUGGAUUUCUAGCUCAAAGCGACAGUAUUUACACAUUACAGAUGUAAUGAAAAAAAUGUCUCAUAUGACGACUGAAGUCUAAAAAGUCUUGGAAAGAGACUUCUUUAUAGACGACUAUCAUGCCGUAGGCUGUGAUGAGUUGGAAGAGCUAGUGAACUGCAGGUGAUGACAGAGGUCUGGAUAUAUGCAAGUACUUGAGCUAAAGCAAAUAAUCUGAACAAACACAAAUAUGCAAUGAAGCUGUCAGAGUGGGGAUCCGGACAUGGCUCCAUGUAAAUCACCCAGUUAUCAUAAUAUUACACCUCUUCAAAUAGACUUCCCCAGAGAAGCAGAGAAAGAGGGAAAGAAAGUGAGAGAAACUGAAAUACCCUGCUGUGUAAAUCAUAACCGCAUUACCAACUGUGCUACUUCUGCUGUCCAACUAGAGGACAUCAGGAUGACGAGUUCUAGCAAGACAAGCAAGCAUGGGCCACAUUCAGUCUCUACUUUUACUGCUUGAGUGCAAGAGCAAACACACUGAAUGUUCAUUCCUGUCAGGGAAGAGUUAAACAGCCAAAAGGUCUGCUUCUGGGACUCCAUUUUCAAUCCUUCUAGACACUUCAUUGGUACAGCAGACCAGCGGGAGAAGAAAGAGCUGUUGAUGGAAUGCAGCCAUUUCGGUGACCUUGUGGCUCUCCCUCAGAGGAAGGCCGGAGACAGUGUGCUCCAGCAUCAGGCCAUAGGAUAAGAGUUCAGGACUGGCAAAACACAACAUGUUAAUCGUCAUCAUCAUCAUCAUCAGAGGACAUCUGAAAUCCAAGAAAAAUGUCAGCGGUGAAGAAGCCAGCGAGCCGCUGAAGAUCUCAAUCCGAUCCAGUAUCUGUGGGAUGUGCUGGACAAACAAGUCCGAUCCCUGGAGGCCCCAACUCGCUACUUACAGGACUUAAAAGACCUGCUGGUAACAUCUUGGUGCCAGAUACCACAGCACACCUUCAGAGGUCUUGUGGAGUCCACGCCUCGACAGGUCAGAGCUGUUUUGGCAAUACAAGGGAGACCUACACAAUAUUAGUCAGGUGGUUUUAAUCUUAUGGCUGAUCAGUGUAUAGAAUAUAUUUAGAAAAUAUAUAUGCUAUAGUGAAGCUAAGUGCCAUUCAUUAAGAAAUGUAAAAAAAAACUGCUGUGGUACUGUAUAAGCAGAAAAAUACCAUUCAGGAUAUACUGUUAGAAGGAAACCUCUGGAUGUCAUUGAUUAUUUUAUAACAGCAUGUCCUAAAGUGUUUUAUUCCUUGCUGGCUCUCACACAAACACAACAACCACAGAGAUUAACACACAUGAUAUUCUGACUUUACUUAUUUGCCACAUCGAAAUUUCUGUCCUAAAAUGUUUAAUAGCAUUUUCCAAGCCCUUCGUUUUCAUGAGAGCAAUGCAGAACAUAAUUUUCAGUGAGCAAUAAUGAUGUGAGGAUCUCAAAUAUGUGCGUAGGCCUAUUUCAUAUUUAGCUCUGAUCACAAUGACAAUUAGGCAACGAUGCUUCACACAAAAGAAACAUUUCAUUAAAAUAUUAGAACCAUACAAGCUGCUGAUUAUUUGCCUGGGAGUAUGACAAAAGAGGGAAGAAGAAAAUAACAAAGGAUGCAAUUAAAACCUUUUAUUUAUUUAUUUAUUUAUUUAUUUUUAAAUAUUUUUUAAAAUAUAUUUGUGAGGCAGUGUCUGUCCCUCUCAUUAGGAACUGGAUUGGGUUCUCACUAAGCUGAAUCCCAUUACGAUGACCUUUACUCAUUACUUCAGCAUUACAGCAUGAGACACAUUCCUCUUUUCUAAUCAUAAUGAGGAGGCCAAUAUACAGACUAAUACAUAAUCUGAUCAGGGGCCUCAGUCUGCAAUUAAAGAGACCUUUUUAAAGUUCACCUCCAUUACAGGCUUGAAGCACUGUGAAUGACGCACUGGCUGGAACUUAAUAACAAACAUGCAGCCGUUAAUUAUGGCCUGUGUUUGUGUGGCUCGAAUGGUUUCGAAUUUUUCGAGAUAUGAUCCCCAGUUGUGACUCUGACACACUCAUAGAAAAACAUAGCUUAGUUAAUUUAGUUAAUUUAGCUGAAAUCAUAGGCAGGUGGGCUAACUUAAACAUACGGUGACACAUUUGUGAGUUUCUACUAGAAAGUGCUAAGAAAAGGCACUUAUUACACUGUCAGAAAAGUUGUGGUACAAUUCCUGCACACAUCUGAUAGAAAAUGAUUUCAAAUUACAGGGGUGUCAAGCUAUGGACAUUUUUCACUGUCAUGAUUUACUGAUACAGGAUUUAUUAUGCAGACUCUAACACCUGACUACAGCACUGUUUCAACAAUAAUGACAGUGAAGAAUAUUAGAUAUGAGCAGACUACUGUACUCACACUAACGGUAAUCACAACAGGACCAGCGAUUAUCAACACAGCUAAAUCCACAGCAGGAUCAAUGUGGCUUAAAUUACCCAUGGUUAAGAAACUGGUUCUCUGUUUCAAUAAAUUUUUUUUUAAAAAGCUCACAACGAUCCCAAGGGUUUGUGCUUUUAUGUCAUAGGAUACAGUAAUGCAGCAUGGCGUUUCAGCUAGAAAUACAGGCUUGAAUGUAUUUAGCAAGAUUUGUCUCAAAAUAUCUAAAUAUGAUAAUAGCCUCAAAAAAAGGUACGCCCUCGGAAGAAAAGACAAUAGUCUGGUGUGACCUCUACUUAAUAAUAGGUAGCUCUUCUGAUUGCCAACCAAAGAGACCAUAGUACCACCCAUUUCGUUUCUAUUGUCACAAUAACAAGGCUUGUGAAUUCACAGGUAAACAUUCACCUAGAUAAAGUCAUGGUGGAGUGGACAGAAGCAAAACAAAUCAUAAAUGCUAUGGCUAAACCAUAGAAGAAGUUGGCACUUUUGUACAGUGGACAUAAGAAGUCUGUUAAUAUGGCAGGUUUUUGUGAAGUCAAAAUAAUUACACUAAGAUAAAUCAUGUCAGAUCUUUUCUCCACCUUUAAUGUGUAAUUGGAAAGUAUACAAAUUAAGUGGAAAAACAAUCUGGAAUUUUUUAGGGAAAAAAAAACAAAAAAACAAAAAAACAAAAAAACUUACAAUAACCUACCUGCAUAAGUGUUCACACCCCUAAACUAAUACUUCGUUGAAGCCCCUUUGAAUUUGUGCAGAUUUUAUUAAACCACUCAGUCUUUUUGUGUAAGAGUCUAUCAGUGUGUCACAUCUUGUCUUGCCAAUAUUUUCCCACUCUUUCUUGCAAAAACAAAAACAUUCUAGAUCCAUCAAAUUGUGAGGGUAUCUCCUGUGUACAGCCUGCUUCAGGUCACCCCUGAGAUUUUUAGCGGGAUUCAGGUCUGGGCUAUAUCUAGAUAAUUCACUGAUCUUCUUUUGGUUAAGCCAUUCCUUUACUGAUCUUCAGCUUACUAGCAGACAGCUAAAAGUUUUGCACUAAAAUCAACUGGUAUUUGUAGCUAUUCAUGAUUCCCUCCACCUUGAUAAAAGCCCCAGCUUUAGCUGAAGAAAAGCAGCCCUAAAGCAUGAUGCUGCCACCACCAUGCUUCACCGUGGGCAUAGUGUUCUUUUGGUGAAGUGCAAUUUUUGGUGCCAAACAUACCUUUUGGAAUUAUUACUGCUCAUUUUGCCACAUGGUGUGAUUCAGUUGAGUUUGGAUGGUUUUUUUUUUGUGAGAAAGGGCUUCCGUCUAGCCACCCUACACCAUAACCCAGACCUGUGAUGAAUACGAGAGAUUGUUGUCACAUGCAGAGGGUAAUCAGUACUUGUCAGAUAUUCCUGCAGCUCCUACAAUAUUGUUUAAUGUUUAAGGGUGUGCACACUUAUGCAACCAUGAUAUUGCAACUUUAUUAUUUAUUUAUUUAUUAAAGCUUUAAUUUUUACAAGUUGUAAUUUCGCACUGAGGGUGGAAAAUGUUCUGAUAUGAUUUAUCUUUUUUCCAUAACAAAAACCUGCCAUUUUACCAAGGGUGUGUAGACUUUUAUAUAGACUGUAGAUGUAUGAAAGGUGCUAUAUAAAUAAACCAUAUUGUCAUUAAUUCAUCUUCAGUAACUGCCUUAUCCUGGUUAGGGUCAUGGUUAAUACAGGACCUAUACUGGGAACACUGGAUACGAGUCAUGAAUAUACCCUGGAUGGGCUUUUAUGGGAUGUGAUGUACACACAAAUUCACACACUCACUUACACCUUGUGCAAAUCCACCUACCAGCACCAGCAUGUUUUUGGGAGGUCGGUGGAAACUGGUGAACCCAGAGAAAACCAUACAUUUACAACAACAACACCAAUAAUUAUAAUAAUAAUAAUAAUAAUAAUACACUGACUCUCCCAAAGUAAGUGUGUUGAGAAUAUGUUUGAAACACACGAACUGAAAAUUGCCAAACUGAAUGAAGUAUAAGUUUAUAAGUAUAUGUUUUUGCUUGAGGAUUUACUGUAGACACUAAAUAUAGAAGCAUUACAUAGUACACCCAUAAGUAAUAAAAUAUUACAAUUGAAAAAAGGCUGAGCUCUUUUCACCACAAUCAUUUCAAACAAGCUUUGAAGCUGGGGGGCCUGCUGAGGGCACAAAUGCUUUUAAUCAAAAUGUCUUCAUGCCACACAGGCUCCUUUCACGAUGGCCAUGCAGACAUCAACUCAAGAUGGAGACAUUUCUCUGACAGCAUGCAUUAUUAAUAUCCAACUACAACUGUGGUAAUAAUUACAUUUAAUAGGUCCAUUCCCAUGCAAUUAACUCUCUCAUGCACACUGCUCGGUCACUACAACACAGGUAAAAGUCACUCCUAUAUAAUAGAGAGAUGCGACACUCUAAGAUUCCUCCAUACAUUUGUUAUGGUGCACAAUCCUGAUGGACCGACAAAGGCUCUGGAGUGGCCGAGCUCCUUUGCUGUGUUUACGUUGUAAGAAAUGAGACAAAACUGUGACCAAAUUCCUCACACUUCCUCCUUUCCACACCUCAUGGGCCAGUGGGUUUGGGUCCGCCACCGCCACGGCUCUGUGGAACUUUGGCUGUGUGCCUUCUCACCCCUUCACAGGUGUUUCCCAUUGCUGACUCGUACUCUCUUCGCACACACUGAAGAGCAACAUUGUUUUAAGUGUGAGGGUUGCAGGCCCCCUGCAGCAGGCACUGACAGGCCCAGAAGCCCAUGUUUAUCUGUAUGCAUAAAACCCACACUGCACGCUCUACUCUACACAGGCACAAGGGACGGCACAUGGUUUUAACAUUACUGUGACUUUAAGGGGCCAGAAAGAACCUUGUCUGGUCCUUUGACAACUUAAAUGGGCAUGGCUGAAGAUGCAACCAUGCAAACAGAGCACUUUCAUGGAUUGUCUAUACUCUAGAGAUUUUUUUUUUUAUUCAGUAAAUGCUUUAUCCUGGUCAGGGCCGUGGUGGAUCCCAAGUAUAUCCGUGGAAUACUGGACGUGAGGCAGGGACACACCCUCAAUGGGACUCCAGUCCAUCUCAGGACACACACACACACACACACACACAUUCAUUCACAGCUGGGGGUCAAUAUAGAGUAGCAUUGUUUUGGGAGGUGGGAGGAAACCAGAGAAAACCCACAAAGACACAGGGAGAACAUGCAAAACUCACAUACUGAAAAUUUACUCCAAAUCAUACUACUCUUUGGUUCAGCAUUGCGGUACUGCAAUUCUCAAAUGGAAUCUCACUGUUAUUGUGGAUAUAUUUGUAGAUAUAUUUCAUCCGGAGUCUCAGAAAGCUAGGGGUAUUUGCUCUUACUACGAUGUAACCUACAGACGAGUGACAAGUAAUGCCACCAACAGCAUUAAAAAAGACGUCGGAACUCCUCACUGUAGAGGACUUGUGGAGAACAUGGUGAAUGACUCAUCUGUGGUUUUUGCAGCACUGUACUCUCAAAUGUGCAAAUUUGCACUGAAACCCUACUGCAAUAUCCCUCUCUAGGUAGCGGUGGACAAAUUCCUCUUGCUGACAGUCUGAUCACAUCCUAUAUUAACAUUCUCAGUCAAUGACUAUGUGAUUUAAACCACAACAUCCAAUUCUAUUUACUGUCUUUCAAAUAGAUGUGAAUACAGAUAACUCUUUAGUCAUGGUUCCUAUUUAAUCAGAGCCAGCUAAGCAGCAUUUGUGACUGAAGCUCCUUCCAUCCGUACCCCAAUAAUAAACCCUGUUUCAAAGUCACUUUUGCAAGGUGGACUAGGCCUACUCAAGAAUCUUAUACUAUACAGAGUGUGGUAUGGGGUUAACUGCUUAAUUAUAUAAUUUUAUACCAGUGUUGUUGAAUUAAAUUUCUAUAACAGCACAACUCUGACAGUAGAGCUUUAAUUUAAACAAUAUUAAUUCAAAACAUAUUAAUGCACUCAUAUAAUACUAAUUUAAGUAUCUAAAUAAUAAUCUACAUAAACUAAGGCUGAUAAUAUGUGGACAUAUUUUAUAUAAUAAACAGACAUAUAUUAAAAAUAUAAUUGUAUAAUCAUUUUUGUAAGGAGAUUAACAUUUCAGUGUUUUAUAAUGGUUACUAAGUUUUCCUCCACAUGAGAGUCUUCAAGACAGAGGACAUUCUGGUUUCUCAGUAACACCUGGUCUUAGUGCUUUCAAUCCAAAUUUAAUUCCAUUUAUUGACUGAGAAAAAAAAGAGAUGAUGCUGUUUAUAGCUGCUAAUGUAAGUGAUAACUUGUCUCGCAGAUGAUCUAGAACAUUAAAUGUAACUAUAAACAGUUAGAAAGUAUAACGUGUCAUUCACUAACAAAUAAAAAUUGUAUUAGCUGGCAAAUCACUGCGGUGUAAGAGGAAUAAAUACUGUAGAUCAGAGAUUGACCAGAGUUUCCUUGGUGAUGCAGUUUUCAUAUAUGAUUAAACUGCGACAAUAAAAAUAGUCUAAGAGUCUAAAACUCUUUUAGUGUCGGUGAUUUUUCUGAGUAGCAUCAUGAAUCAUGCCUUUUUAUUCAUAAAUCAUGAAUAACCAGUAGUCAUUCAUGUAGUUAGAGUAUGGUAACAUUCAGUAUGCUUACAGGGACAAUAAUCCAAUAUUAACCCGAUAACAAUACUCUGAUUAAAAACUAGCAUGUAAACAGUGAUUAUUGAUUACCUUAAUCUGAUUAAAGUCAUACUCGAAGUAAACACGAAUCAAAUUAAGACAUGUGGAGUAUUCCUGUUUUAGUCGCAUUAUCGACGUGUAUUACAGACAUGUACACACCUUAAUCACAUUAUUAAUGUCGUGUGGGAGUUUUCACCACAUUUUGCGACAGGACACGUACACACACGCAGCGCUCAACCGUUGACGGCAAACAAGAGAGCACGGCUGCGUCCCAAACCACGUACUUAACUGCUAUAUAGUAGGAGAAAUACAUAUGUUUCAGCUAAUAUAUAGUAGGUAAGUAUGUGGUUUAGAACACAGUCCACGGCUUCAAGCAGUCGUCUAUUAGCACGUAUGGCAUGACAAAUAAAUAACUGCACUUGAAACUUUUGUAAAAUUAAAAAUGAAACACCCAAAACUGUAUACGGUACCAUAACGAAGACGAACGGUACGUCGAUACGUGAAAUUCUGGAGGGGACGUCGGGCGGUGUGGCGUAGGGACGUAAUGACGUGUGCCGUUAAUCGAGUUAUGUUCUAUAACAUGUAAAACAGGAACAUGAAAGGAGCAUUCUAAAAGCGCCUCGUGUAAACACCUUAAUCAUAAUAUUGUCUUAUUCAGAAUAAGGUCAAUAAUUAGAUUAGUGCUGUGCAUGUAAACGUAGUCAGUAACAGUGCAUCUAGAAACCUAACAAGUUUAUCAGUUCAGUUGACCCUCUGGGGAACCCUUAAAGGUUCUACAUAGAACCCUACAACAGAGCAUCUCCCAAUCAGAGAGAGUUCCAAUGCCGUUCCACAGUGGAAAAUCUUUACCUCUCCAAGGGAUUCAUGAGGAACCCAUAAGAGUGUAGGGCUGCACAAAAGGGACAAAACUACUAAACAUAGUCUGUGGACCAAAAUAAUUCACACCAAUAGCAAGAUUUAUUAAGGGGAAAAAACCCCAAAGAAAACAUAACUGGAACAUGUCUGUAAUUAGUCAGAACGAUCACAGAACAUAAUACAAAUCUGCGGUUUGUUUAGAAUUUUGCAAAAAGCCAAUUGUGAGAUAAUAAUUAACAAACAAUAUACCGGGCAGCCCUAGGAUACAAUGAAAGUUUCUUUCAGUAUGAUGUGAAGCACACUUUAGAACGUACGGAUAAUAUAACCCACAAUCAUAUGUGUAAAUCAACAGCACCUACACCAGCAAUUAAGUAAAGACCAGGCAUUGGCUAAUAGCAUAUUGGAAUGAUAUCAUUGUUUUCUCUGCAGUUUGGGUGAAUCAUUAGUUCACCUCUGAAUGCCUAUAAUGUGGGUAAUUGCGGGACAGCUGCUUCCUUGCUACACCGGUGUCAAAGAUACAAGGAUCCACUGUAGGCGGUCUGCUCCUGUUUUAGCCACCUACCUUUCAAGUGCACUCACAACAUAUAGGCAGCACCUCUGACACGCCAGUGAAAGCAGGAGCGCCUGACUGAGAUUGCUCAGUAAUUCUGGCCACAUGAUUGACUUUAUGAUCGCUUUAGUAGCGCAACCAGUCGUUAUGCUUUCAACCCAUGCCAAAAGUUUCCUGUGAGAAAGUGAUGGGGAAUUAGGAGGGGAGGGGGUGGGGUAAGUGGGGGAGGGCUGGGGGUUGCAUUCAAGCACUCUGUUGAAGAGCGUGCAAAGCCAUUCCUUCAUAGACCCUCCUUCGUACACUUUUAAUGGCACAGAAUUAUUGGCCUGGGUGGAACGCAACCAAUGUCUUGGUUUAAAGCACCAUACGUUGACAGGAGUGACACGGCCAUUUUCCCGUGCUCCAUUAGUGCAGAGAAGAGCCAGCCCUAGUGCUCUUAAAAGGCCUGAGCAUGAACGCAAGCACAUCGGCUCCUUCACCAUUAUCCUCUGAUGGCUGUUAUUUUCAUAUUGACAAAUUGGUAAAACUGUCAUGCUAGUCAUACUGCGUGUCAUACUAGUGUUUUAUAUAUGUUCUGUAUGGAAAGAAUUCUGUCACGUGUGUGACUCAUUAUGAAAUCAUACUGUCGGUAUAGCUGCAUAUUAAACCUUAUAUCACAUGGUUAUCUACAGAGGUUGUAAAAGAAAACAGAUAGGAUUAAAAGGACAUUUUUAUCUACUUCAUGUAAACAGAUCUUUGAUUUGAUACAUGAUGGAUUACUUAAUAGUACUUACUGUUGUGAUUGAUGCUGUUUAUUAUUAUUUUUGGAAUAAUCAGUUACAGUAAAUUCAUUUCAAUGUUUUCCUUACCAUAGGAAAGGCUUAGGUGUGGCACCUAAGUGUUUUUGUGGCGCACCUUAAGCCGAAUUAACAUAAAAAGGCAUUCAUUUUCAUUAAAUCUCAAAUGUGUUAUUUGGUGAAAUGAAUAGACCUUUAACUGUAAGUAGAAUAAGUGUUGUCAGCUUUCUUUCACAAAUACGGUAAGGAUAAUGAAUAAUGUUAAGGUUCAUGAAUGAAUAAUGUAUGAUAAUAAAACUUAAAAUAACUUCAAAUUUCAUAAUCAUUUCUUAAUAACUUCAAAACCCCCAACCAUUACCACCCUCCCGAACCCAGUCAGCACCUAAGCCCUCUCAAAACCUAGAGAGACCCCUGCAUUUCAAUUUGUUUUGAUCCCUUGAAGUGAAAAGUAAUUAGUAGACAAAAAUGAUGCUUUAAUUCUUUUAAUGUGCAGAUUCUGGCAUCUGCUUGACGGUUUUGCUUUAAUUUAUAAAGAAAUCAGACAAGGGGGAUUUCUGAGAUCCUGAAACCCUGACAGUGAAAGUCUCUGCUGGUUUAUAUGCAGGCUUUGGAGAGUAAUAACGCAUCUUUCAGCAGGAAAACUCCACAACUGUGGGCUCCUAUCAGACGAGAGCUAUGGGAAAGCGCUGCUCCACGGAGAGUACAGAGAUGCACCGGCGGUUUUGGAUCUACAGGACGUGUGUAUAUGUUUGCAUAUGUCCAUGUAUACAUCUGAGAAUUAUUGGGUUUUCAUCACCAGAUGCUUUCAAAGCGGCACAUCAUUAAAGUUUCCUCAUCAGAAAAAAAAAAGAAAGAAAAAGAAAAAGAAAAAGAAAGACAUUGUUCUUCUGUAGCUAUCUGCUAUUUCUAUUUCCUUCUACUUCUCUUCCUGGCACAUGAGUUGGCAAGCGAGACUUUCUUUUACAGCACAACUGCACUGGCUCCCUGACAGCACAGCAGCUCCAGAGAUGGCGCAUUCUGCUGCUGUCUAAAGGGACCCAGCUUCUCUUUCAUAAAUCCCUCAAACAUGUCUGCAGCAUUUCUAGACGACAUCAUUAAUGCUGCACUGAAAACGCCAGCGUUGGUCCAAAGCGAGGCUCGGGAGCGCCCCAGAGCCUUCUGAAACUGUACAUCAGUGUAUGAUGUUUUGGCAAACCCAUAGCUUCCACAAGCUCUUAUACCAACUGGAAAACCCGGGCCAGCCCUCAGCGGCAGCAUCCCCCGAUGAGAGGCUAAUCCGUAAUUACCACACAGAGAUGAUUAGUUACUCCAAAGCCUAAUAAAUUUCAUUUAGGCUCUGCAGCUGGCAAGGGAAAUGCAGAUAGGAUAGAAUGAGAGGCUGGUGAACCUUCUUGGUGAUCCAUGAUUUAGUGAUGCUGCUAAAAAAAAAAAAAACAAGUUCUCCCUGUUAGUGUGUCCCAGCUAGGAUGUAU
ensembl:lncRNA